UGGCAUUUAUCUUUUUUCUCAAUUUUUUGACAUUUUCCUCUUCAUUUCUCUAUUUAAUUAAAUAAAAUUAAAAUUAAAGGUUUCAUCCCUCCACCCAAUAAAGACUCACUCACCAUUUAAUAGCUUUAUAUUUGCCAUCACUUACCACUAGUAAUUACACCUAUUCAAAAUAUUAAAAUCAUAUAAAACAGUCAACUAAAUAAAAAAUGGUUAUAGAAACUCAAAAGUCACACCACUUCAAUAUAAUUUAAGGGUUGUCCGUGGAAAGCAUGCAGUUGCUUGUCUCCCAUUUCUAUUUUGGGGUCAGAUUGUAAGGAAACUCAUGACUUUUGAAGAAAAAAAUCACCUUACUACAGGCUGGGCUGUCAACAGGGUUGCCAACUCUGUGCAACAUAUUUCUUCUUGGUUGAGAUGUGAUGGAUAUUAUUUUCUGUUCUCUUCUUUGAUUCAUUUUCAGGAGAGAUUUUAUAGUAAUAUUACAUUCCAAUUUCCCUGGUACAAAAAUAGAAGUACAUUACUCUACUUUUCAUAUUUACCUGAAUGGAUUUUCCUUUUC